UUCGUGAAAUAUCUCCUUGUUAAUUCUGCUCCUAGAGUGUUUUCAAAACUCCUCUUUCAUCUUUAAUACAUUUGCAAUUUAUUUGGGUUGAAGGAGAGAAGUCAUGCUGCCUAUUCAUUUCCUUUCUUCCCAAAUGGUUAGCAUAUUCCUGAACCAUUAUUAGCCACGAUUCAUCUUCCAGCCACUACCGUAGAACAAUUUGAAUCUAUUGGUUCCCGAUGGCUCCUGUAACAAAUUAUCGCAGAUUCAAGCAACGCAAAUGUGUUCUCUUCCAGUUCUGGAAGCCAGAAGUCUAAACGGGGUCGUCAGGCCUGCGUUCCUUCCGGAGGCUCCAGACGAGAAUGCAUUUCCUUGCAUUUCUGGCUGCUGGUAUCUGCCCACACGCCUUGGCUCACAGCCUCGCCUCAUUCUCACCUCGGCCUUGGGGUGACACCUCCUGCUCUGGUUCCGAUUCACCGCCUUCUACACUCCCUCCUAAGAACCCUUGUCAUCACAGUGCAGUUCCCUGGGGGCAUGGCGGUUAAAGAUCGGAAGUUAUCAGUGGCUGUGGCUUGGGUCCUGGCCUGGGAACUUCCACGUGCGGCCCCGAAAAGAAAACCCUUGGCAUUACGGUGGAUCCUCCUAAUUAACACGCGGCAGACAGACUCUCAGGAAGACAUCCUGUAUGUGGCCCAUUCUCCGCAGUCGGGACAUCUUGAGCCGUGCGUUGCUCUCUGCUGUACCUUCCAGCCCUGGGGCCUCUGACAUUUACUUUCCUAGUGUGUCCAACGCUCCGAUUUCUUUGAGGAGGGCCCAGCUGUGAUCCAAAGUGCGCUGCAGAAGAAACUACACUGAAUUCUCUAUGAAGGAGGCAUUUUUCUUCCCCCCGCUUUACAAGAUGGAGAAACCGUGGAUCAGAGGAGUUCAGCAAAUCACCGAGACCACACAGCUGGUGGGACCCCAGGAUUGGUAUGUUUUAAAGGUGCCCCCAAUGAUGAUGACGCCAAUGAUGCUGGUAGGAGCAGUCAAGCUACCAUGACAGAUUCUUUUCCCAUAUGAGUCAUCACAGAGUAUGGAGUAGAUUUCCCUGCGCAUAAUUUGAAAAGGCCCUCUGUGGACACAUCGUGGAGAGUUGUAACAAGGUUUUAUGAAGGGAUAGAGAAAGAAGGCCUGCUUGUCUUCGUCAGCUCUUCAGUAAGUAAUAUUAUGCCAGCCAUAGUCGCCAGAUGGAAGAAAAUUAUCCCCAGCCCUCUGGGUUCAUCUACCAUAACUGAGAAAAUGCACGUGAGAGCACGUGCCUGGGGCUGGCACAGGGUCCACACUCUGGGUUUACUCAGCCACUUCUUCACUCGGUUGGGGAUGGGAGUGAAAGCCAUCUCACCUCCUUACACAGAGCCACAGAUGGAGUCCCUUCUGGUGGCUACACCUGUGCCCCGUCCCCCCACCCCCGCCCCAUUCUGACCCAUGUCCGUCUCCAUACCACGGCAGGCUCUGCUUGCUCCUCAUACCCACUGGGUGGACGUUGAGGCACAGCACUCUCUCAUCCAUCAUCCCCGAAUCAAACAUUCACCUUUCGCUUCCUGAGAGACUCAGAGAAAGGGGCUUUUUAAGAAAUGUGCCUGCCCCACUGUCAGCAUAAACCUUGACCUGGGUCUCAGACUCUUCUGGCCGAACGGCGGGCAGGGCCUGAGAUCUGACUCUUUUGGUCUUCCCA